rnacentral:lncRNA from 1 species
AGGUACCGUCGCAUAUCCAUGUGAAGCAGAUGACUCCCUGCGCACACCUCGGACCGUGAGCAACCCGGGCUCCACCGUGUUCAGACGUCGGCUAUUCCAUGGCUCCGCCUGACUCCCGAAUGCCAUUUGCUACCAGGCCAGAACUGCGCUGGCUGGAGGGGGCAGAGACGACAGGAGGGGUUCUUACCUGCAUCCUUCCAUGAGGGUGUGGUUCUGUGUUUCAUCUCUAACAGAGAUGCUACUGCUUGGUGGCGUUUGUUAGAAAUGGGACACACGCCCCUGUCGUGAAGUUUACAUGUGACCUUCUUGUAGGUAACUUGAGUUCGUAGCCUGGGACCCCUGUAAUGAAGGUUACAGUCCACAGGUGAUAGAGAAAUUCAAGCUGUAAGUUACAGGUGCACUAUAAGUGUGUUCAUUCAGUUUACCUGGGGGCAUGGAGGUGAGUCAGCUCCACGAGGAAGGAAGCAUACCUCUGCCCUCAUCAAGGGGACACAGGGUACAUCCCAGGCAUCAGAGAACUGCAGCUCACCUCAAACCAUGUCAAAGAAUUAAAACACACCCCCAUCCCCUCACUGUAGCCUUUGGCAACUUCGCCAAACCCUUCACACAAAGAAAAUAAAAGUAAGGCGUAUAAAUUUCCUCCAGCAAGCAAAUCUUGUGAGUAAAA